rnacentral:misc_RNA from 1 species
GCUAUUUAUACGCGCUAUAUUAGUGAGAUACAAGGCUGAGAAAACCAAUCUAACUAAAUCGUCGUUAAUUACAUUGAAAAGAUCAGGAUCACAAAUUCAUUCUUGUAAUCUAGUACUUAACAUCAAACUUAAGUUCAUCUCAUCCAGUGCUAAUAUU